rnacentral:misc_RNA from 1 species
UUUCCGUAGGUGAACCUGCGGAAGGAUCAUUAUCGUACAAAAUGUGAGGGGCAUGCUAGGGCUGUCGCAGUUGUAGAAGUCGUGCACGCGCGAGUGUGUGGUCUUGCAUAAUAAUCCAUCUCACCCUUUGUGCACCACCGCGUGGUCACCCUUCGGUGUCAUCACCCAGAGGUGCUCGCGAUCUCACAAAAACCGCCCUUUUAAAAGUGUAAAAUGUCCACAUUUAUGCAAUCAAUACAACUUUCAACAACGGAUCCCUUGGCCCUGGCAGCGAUGAAA